rnacentral:lncRNA from 1 species
CAGGAGAGAACAGUCUGAAUCACUGAAACAUCGGAGUAGUUGAGUAAUAAACACAUAUAUGUAUUGCCUUCAAGUCUUAGAGUGAUAUAAAGUAGUCUUAACUGAAUAUUUCUUAGUUUAAUUAUUUGAACCGGUUGAUUGUAUUGACUAAAUAUAAUUAUCUGAAGUAUUUAUGAUGAGCAUAUUGUUAUUUCUAAGUACUUCUGAGUUAUUGAGGGUGCUUACACAAUACUGAAGAAAGCAUGAUUCUUCCUUUCGUUUUAUUUAUAUGAAUCUUGUAGCAGUCUUUUAUAAAAAGUAAAACUAGCCCCAGCCCCAAUCUUAAAUUAUCAUAGUUUUUGAUUAUUAUCCAAUAAAUUCGGCUUAUCUAAAUUUCAUAUACAGAUUGAUAAUUUUUCAUUUUGUAUGGGUAUUUAGAUGGUAAACACUUUCCACAGAGUAUAUUUCUGUUCACAAACUACUUAAUUAGUAUUGGCUUGAUAUUCUCCCAAAUCUUACAGAACUUUGAAAUGUCAUUUGAUGAGCUUCAAAAAUGAUAUGUUACUUAAGUAAAUGCUGGCAUCCUUACUAAUCUUUCCACAUACAAAAUCUUGAUGCAUUUGAUGCCACUGAACAAUAAUAGCAUAAAGAACAGGACUCACAGUCUAGACUGGAUUGAGUUUUAAUUAAACUUUUUCAGCCAUAACCUGAUAAGAAUCAGUUUGGGUCUAGAAGUAACCAGACUGUGGGCCUCUAUUACUGUAGUGAGCCAGUGUUUGUGUUUACUGCCACACUUGCAGAGCAGUGCCAGUUUGCAGCUGAGACUGUCAUGUGACUUUGACUUUUGGUAACUACUUGUUUAUAUCCAAAAGCAGUUUAGAUUUUAUGGAAGUAGCUCAUGAUUGUUUGGACAAGCAAGGUAGGUGAAUUUCAGUUAUAUUUAAAGUGCAAUUAUGGAAACCCUAGAGUAGUGUGUUCUUUCCAGGAAAAAAACCUUAAGUGUAUUUGUAGACUAUCCUAGCCUGACAACUUUUCUGAACAUACAUAAAAUUUUGACAAGGUUCAUGCGUGUGAUUUUUCAAGUUACCUAUUUUGUGUUGAUUUAAAAUUUCAAGGAGAAAUAGAAAUGUUCUAGCCAAGGAGAACUGCAUAGUUAAUUUUUUUGCUGCUAACAUAAGCAUUUAUUUCUCACAGCUAAGAAUCUCUUUUAAGUUAGUUUUGUUACAAAGAAAGGCCAUUCUUGUAAGACGGAUGACAUUUUCCUGAAUGGAAAAUGAAAUAGAUCCAUUGCUCUGAACAAAACACCUUAAAUUUGUGCCUUUUCAAAUUAUAGGAAUAGUAAUAAUUAGUCAAAUAUUUGUCUGAACUCUUUUUUCCUAAUUGCUCUCAUUUUUCCUUAGAUCUGCCCUCCACAAAUGGUUACAUUGUUUGCUUUUGCCUGUUGGCUUUUCAGGCUCCUUUGGCCAGGCCUCACCCUAUCACUGUCAGAAGCUGUUCACUGGAUGUAUUUUUCUAUUCCUUUUAUGUUGCUUUACUUUUUAAGUCACUUUGAUGAAACUCUGGCUGCUUCUCAUGUUUUUAAAAUGAAUGCAAUGAUUAACAAUCUUUACAUUUCAACCCUUUAAAAUGUUUGUAAAGGCGAGAAAUAAUGUAGAACGAACAGAAAUCUAAUUUGGAAUGUGAUUCUCAGUUUGGUUGAAUUUUCUCAUCUACAAAAUGUGGACAAUAACCUACCUCACAGAUGUGUGUGAGUAACUGUUUGAAGGCCCUUGCUUAAAUACAGGGUUUAUCAUCAUAUUUAAGGUAAAUCCCUUCCUUUUUUUUUUUUAAAGUGGGUAUCUUUGAUACUGAUAGGAUGAGUAUUGAUUUUAGGUAAGUCUCAUGUAGUAAGAAUAUAGUGGUAAAAAGAUUUAAGACUACAGUUUCACAAAUUAUGGUAUUCUUAUUUUAAGUGACUUAAAAUUUCUUGAAAAUAUCAAAUACUCAAAUUUUGAAUUUGUCUUUUGUGGCAACGAAUAUUCAGAACCUCUUAAAAUGUUGGCUGAAGCUGCCUUAAUGUACCAAAAUACAGCUUUCUCUCAAGACUGUUCACAAAUAUCUCUGGUUGUACAAUGUUUUGUGUGUUUAAUAUAAAAUUGUUAGAGAACUGUGAACUCUCAGCAGAGUAAUCUAAAUAUUGUUUUAAGAAGAAUGCUUGUGUUCUUUGUCAAGUAUGCUUAAAUAUAAAGUGGAUUUUGAGUGCAACAAAAAAAACUGAAAGUUGAUAGCCAUCAGUUAUGACCAUGACAAUCCUAAGAAAAUGUAAGAUUGGAUAUUAAUUAGUCAAAAAAUUUUCAAUAUCCUGCGUUCAUUCUUUCUUAGCCUGUUUUUGAAAAAGAAUAUCCCGUAGGCUAAUAUAUUCACCUGUUGAAGCACUUGAUAUGUAUCUAUUAAAAUCUUUUUAAAACUUUUGAAAUUGAGAUCACUUUUUAUAAUUUAUUUCUAGAAAAAGGAAAAAAGCCCCGACAUUGAGUGCUUUUGUGUUUUAAUGCCAUAGAUUCAAAUUUCAGUUUUGUUUGUUGUGUAUUUUUUGUGGGUAUUAAAUGAUCAGUGGGAUGGCUCUUCCAGUAACCAUGUGGUAAAGAUGUCAUUUUGAACUACACAGCAGUUCAUAGUUACAGGUUCUCUCUGAUUAAUAUUUGCACUGUGCAUAUUCAUAAGUAACAAACACAAAAGAGAAAAGCAGCCUGAUUGCUUAUAAGCUUUUUUCACAAAAUCAAAUUAAAGUCUCUA